rnacentral:lncRNA from 1 species
GGGCUAGAGCCUGGAGACCGCCGGGAGCCCGACUUCCUGGCGCUUUGCCCUUUGGGGAGCGGAGCCAAGGAACAGCGCCAACCUCUCUCCACAAGCCAGGGACCCUACGACCCACCGCCGCAGGCCAGAACCAGCAGCUGAUUUAGAUACCAUCAAGACACCUAAAACCUUAUCAUGAGCCAGAUGCUGUGGAAGAGAUUCUGGGAGAAUCCUGAGGACCCCCCAGUUGCAGCCAUGUCAAGACUGAUGCUGAGGAGGACCCCAACUGUCACGAGCAACACCCGUCGAACACAGCCACCUACUUGGGGAAAGAUCAAGAAGCUGUCACAGAUGGUGGAAGAAAACCUGAGGAAAGCGGGACAACCAGUCACAAUGAGUAAUUUAAUGAUAGCUAUGAGAGCGGUGAUCACCAUUGCUUCUGCAGAUGCAGAUCCUGACUCCUGCGAGAAGUAGCUCACCGUGAUAAAGCUGCCUUUGCUUUUAUUGCCCUGCAAAAACAAGAAGGGGGAUAUGCUGGGGAAUAGGCCCCCAAAUCUGGACAUAAACUGGCCCCAAAACUGGCCAUAAACAAAAUCUCUGCAGCGCUGUGACAUGUUCAUGGUGGCCAUAACGCCCAUGCUGGAAGGCUGUGGUUUACCGGAAUGAGAGCGAGGAACACCUGGCCUAUCCAGGGCGGAAAACCACUUAUAGGUAUUCCUAAACCACAAACAACCUAUGCCUUAAGGACAUGUUCCUGCUGCAGAUAACUAGCCAGAGCCCAUCCCUUUGUUUCGGCCCAUCCUUUUGUUUCCUGUAAGGAGUGCUUUUAGUUAAUCUAUAAUCUAUAGAAACAAUACUUAUCACUGGCUUGCUGUCAAUAAAUAUGUGGGUAAAUCUCUGCUCAUGGCUCUCAGCUCUGAAGGCUGUGAGUCCCCUGAUUUCCCACUCCACAUGCUAUA